GUGAGGAAUAUUGGUCAAUGGACGAGAGUCUGAACCAGCCAAGUCGCGUGAAGGAAGACGGUUCUAUGAAUUGUAAACUUCUUUUGUGCAGGAAUAAAGUGGGUUACGUGUAACCUUUUGUAUGUACUGUACGAAUAAGGAUCGGCUAACUCCGUGCCAGCAGCCGCGGUAAUACGGAGGAUCCGAGCGUUAUCCGGAUUUAUUGGGUUUAAAGGGUGCGUAGGUGGAUUGAUAAGUCAUCGGUGACAGUUUGCAGCUUAACUGUAAAAUUGCCGUUGAAACUGUCGGGCUUGAGUGCAAAUGAGGUAGGCGGAAUGUGUUGUGUAGCGGUGAAAUGCUUAGAUAUAACACAGAACUCCGAUUGCGAAGGCAGCUUACUGGGAUGCAACUGACACUGAUGCACGAAAGCGUGGGUAUCAAACAGGAUUAGAAACCCUGGUAGUCC
rnacentral:rRNA from 1 species